rnacentral:rRNA from 1 species
GCUGAAGCCAGUCGAAGAUACCAGCUGGCUGCAACUGUUUAUUAAAAACACAGCACUGUGCAAACACGAAAGUGGACGUAUACGGUGUGACGCCUGCCCGGUGCUGGAAGGUUAAUUGAUGGGGUCAGCCGUAAGGCGAAGCUCCUGAUCGAAGCCCCAGUAAACGGCGGCCGUAACUAUAACGGUCCUAAGGUAGCGAAAUUCCUUGUCGGGUAAGUUCCGACCUGCACGAAUGGCGUAAUGAUGGCCAGGCUGUCUCCACCCGAGACUCAGUGAAAUUGAACUCGCUGUGAAGAUGCAGUGUACCCGCGGCAAGACGGAAAGACCCCGUGAACCUUUACUAUAGCUUGACACUGAACAUUGAGCCUUGAUGUGUAGGAUAGGUGGGAGGCUUUGAAGUGUGGACGCCAGUCUGCAUGGAGCCAACCUUGAAAUACCACCCUUUAACGUUUGAUGUUCUAACCUAGGCCCAUAAACUGGGUCGGGGACCGUGUCUGGUGGGUAGUUUGACUGGGGCGGUCUCCUCCUAAAGAGUAACGGAGGAGCACGAAGGUUGGCUAAGCAUGGUCGGACAUCAUGCGGUUAGUGCAAAGGCAUAAGCCAGCUUGACUGCGAGAGUGACGGCUCGAGCAGGUACGAAAGUAGGUCUUAGUGAUCCGGUGGUUCUGAAUGGAAGGGCCAUCGCUCAACGGAUAAAAGGUACUCCGGGGAUAACAGGCUGAUACCGCCCAAGAGUUCAUAUCGACGGCGGUGUUUGGCACCUCGAUGUCGGCUCAUCACAUCCUGGGGCUGAAGUAGGUCCCAAGGGUAUGGCUGUUCGCCAUUUAAAGUGGUACGCGAGCUGGGUUUAGAACGUCGUGAGACAGUUCGGUCCCUAUCUGCCGUGGGCGUUGGAAGAUUGAGAGGGGUUGCUCCUAGUACGAGAGGACCGGAGUGAACGCACCACUGGUGUUCGGGUUGUCAUGCCAAUGGCAUUGCCCGGUAGCUAAGUGCGGAAGAGAUAACCGCUGAAAGCAUCUAAGCGGGAAACUUGCCUCGAGAUGAGUCUUCCCUGUCGCUUUAAGCGACCUAAAGGAACGUUUAAGACUAAGACGUUGAUAGGCUGGGUGUGUAAGCGUAGCGAUACGUUGAGCUAACCAGUACUAAUGAACCGUGAGGCUUAACCUGACAACACCGAAAGUGUUUUG